rnacentral:rRNA from 1 species
CCUGAGAAACCCAAAAGAUCGAAUGGGGAGAUUCAUCGUCAGCGAUCCUGGCACGUGUGCGGUUCGUGAUGCUGCGAAGACUUCGGUCUCGUGGCACGCGUCCGUAUGGUUUUAUUGCCAGGUGUCGUCGGCGUGCACUUCUCCCCUAGUAGGACGUCGCGACCCGUUGGGUGUCGGUCUACGGCCCGGGUGGGCGCCUGUCAUGUGUCACGCUUCACGGCGUCAUGUGGCAGACCCCCGGUUGUCUGGCCGGCUGCUCGGCGGUACUCGCACGGUAUCGGGCCGCAAAUAUUCGAACUGCGUCCGGCCCGCCGCAAGCGAGGUCAGUGUUUCCCGGAUGUACGGACCU